rnacentral:tRNA from 1 species
GGUGGCUCAGUGGUAGAGUGCUUGCCUUGCAUGCAUGAGGUUCUGGGUUUGAUUACUCAGCACCA